CGACCAGUAGCUCAGGCAGGCAGAGCAGCGGACUUUUAAUCCGCGGGUCGGAGGUUCGAGUCCUCCCUGGUCGA
rnacentral:tRNA from 1 species